ensembl:lncRNA
AUAGUGAACGCGCAACUUUCAAACAAUCCCCCCCCGUCUCCCUUUACUAAUAGUGAGCGCGCAACUUUCAAACCAUUCCCCCCACUCUCACCCCAAUCUAGGAAAUUCUGACGAUCAUGGCAAAGUUUAAAGAUUGUUCUUCACUUUCAUAAAAAAAUGUAAUGUUAAGAGUAAAGUAGGACGCCCAGGUUUCAACUAGGCGAUAAGAUAGUUUCAUGAAAGGAGUGUAUACAGUGCCUUGCAAAAGUAUUCAUCCCCCUUUGCGUUUUUCCUAGUUUGUUGCAUUACAAGAUGAAAUUUAAAUGGAUUUUUAUUUGGAAUACAAGUAAUGGACAUACACAAAAUAGUCCAAAUUGGUGAAUUGAAAUGAAAAAACAAAAACAAAAGAGUGGUGUGUGCAUAUGUAUUUGCCCCCUUUGCUAAGAAGCCCCUAAAUAAGAGCGGGUGCAACCAAUUACCUUCAGACGUCACAUAAUUAGUUUAAAGUCCACCUGUGUGCAAUCUGUCACAUGAUCUCAGUAUAUAUACACCAGUUCUGAAAGGCCCCAGAGUCUGCAACACCACUAAGCAAGGGGCACAGCCAAGCAAGCGGCACCAUGAAGACCAAGGAGCUCUCCAAACAGGUCAGGGACAAAGUUGUGGAGAUGUACAGAUCAGGGUUGGGUUAUAAAAAAAUAUCUGAAACUUUGAACAUCCCACGGAGCACCAUUAAAUCCAUUAUUAAAUAAUGGAAAGAAUAUGGCACCACAAUAAGCCUGCCAAGAGAGGGCCACCCACAAACUCACAGACCAGGCAAGGAGGGCAUUAAUCAGAGAGGCAACAAAGAGACUAAAGACAACCCUGAAGGAGCUGCAAAGCUCCACAGUGGAGAUUGGCGUGUCUCUCCAUAGGACCACUUUAGGCCGUGCACUCCACAGAGCUGGGCUUUACGGAAGAGUGGACAGAAAAAAGCCAUUGCUUAAAGAAAAAAAUAAGAGAACACGUUUGGUGUUUGCCAAAAGGCAUGUGGAAGACUCCAAACAUAUGGAAGAAGGUACUCUGGUCAGAUGAGACUAAAAUUGAGCUUUUUGGCCAUCAAGGAAAAUGUUAUGUAUGGCGCAAACCCAACACCUCCAUCACCCCGCGAAGACCAUCCCCACAGUGAAGCAUGGUGGUGGCGGCGACAUCAUGCUGUGGGGAUAUUUGUCAUCGGCAGGGACUGGGAAACUGGUCAGAAUUGAAGGAAUGAUGGAUGGCGCUAAAUACAGGGAAAUUCUUGAGGGAAACCUGUUUAUCUUCCAGAGAUUUGAGACUGGGAUGGAGCUUCUCCUUCCAGCAGGACAAUGACCCUAAGCGUGAUGUGCAAGUAAAGAUACUGGGGUGCAAAAGAGCAAAACAAAUAAAAAAUAAAAUAACAAUAUUGGGAUGAGGUAGUUGGGUGGGCUAUUUACAGAUGGGCUGUGUACAGGUGCAGUAAUCGGUAAGCUGCUCUGACAGCUGAUGCUUAUAGUUAGUGAGGGAGAUAUGUCUGCAGCUUCAGUGAUUUUUGCAAUUUGUUUGUCAUUGGCAGCAGAGAACUGGAAGGAAAGGCGGCCGAAGAAGGUGUUGGCUUUGGGAUGACCAGUGAAAUAUACCUGGAGUGUGUGCUACGGGUGGGUGUAGCUAUGGUGACCAGUGGGCUAAGAUAAGGCAGAGCUUUACCUAGCAAAGACUUUUAUAGAUGACCUGGAGCCAGUGGGUUUGACGACGGAUCUGUAGCGAGGGCCAGCCAAUGAGAGCAUACAGGUCGCAGUGUUGGGUAGUAUAUGGGGCUUUAUUGACAAAACGAAUGGCACUAUGAUUGACUACAUCCAAUUUUCUGAGUAGGGUGUUGGCUAUUUUGUAAAUGACAUCGACGAAGUCGAGGAAUGGUAGGAUAGUCAGUUUUACGAGGGUAUGUUUGGCAGCAUAAGCGAAGGAGGCUUUGUUUCGAAAUAGGAAGCCGGUUCUAGAUUUAAUUUUGGAUUGGAGAUGCUUAAUGUGAGUCUGGAAGGAGAGUUUACAGUCCACAGUCCGUAGCAUUUGAUAUUUUUCCGCAUUGACAUUACCAGAGAAUUUAAGACCUUUUUUGUAAUAACAUAGUAUAUGGGAUUGAUUUUAUGAAAUUUGGCUUAAUUCAUUUGAUUAAUAUUAUGUUUCUAUUCAGAGAAAAUCGAAACCCUCACGGUUUCUAUGGCGCUGUACAAUGUGACGUCAGGAGGAUUCUAAAUAGUUUGCCUUCAUUAGCCAACUUUGUUCCAAUAUUUCUGUAAAUCAGUGAUAUUUAUUCCCAUAGCAAUUCGUUAUGGAAUGGAUCCAUAACUAAAUCAACAUCUGUAUUUUGAAAGAGGAUUUUUUUUUAACAAAAUGUGUUUUUGUUUGUUAGGCUUCUGUGCAGUCGACAAUAAAUACUGUAGUAAACAUGGGUAAGUGCCUAAUUCCUUACAUAAGGGAGAGCAGGCCAUGUCUGUAAUACAGAAUGCAGGACAUGCAUUAUUUCAUAGUUCAUAGUGAUGUCUUCACUAUUAUUCUGCAAUGUAGAAAAUAGUAAAAAUAAAGAAAAAUCCUGGAAUGAGUAGGUGAGUCUGAACGUUUGACUGGUACUUCCUUAUAUAAUUUGAUUCUUUCCAUGAAAAAGAAUGGAGAGGAAAAUAUGGCGUCCUACAAUAUGAUUCCAUAUGUGUUAUUUCAUUGUUGUGAUGUCUUCACAGCAUAGUUGUGAUGUCUACUACAGAAUUAUAUAUUAGACAUUAAUCAACACUAGUGAGACUCAUUUCGCCUAUGGUAGGCCUACAGUAUAUUGAAAAAAAAAAAUUAAAUGCCGCGACUCUCCGCCAAUAAUUACAUUUAGAGGAUUGGAGGACUCUAUAUUAAUAUCUAAGGGGCAUUUUCCGUUAGGAUCUGUGAGAAUAUCUGACAAUAUCUAAGGGUCUUUUAUAUAAUUCUAAAUUAAUUUAUUAUAAUAACCACUUUGUUAAAGGGUAAUGAUAGGAGAGUUUGUUUUCAUUUAACCUAGAGUGAGCAAGAAAAAGGCUUCUAUUCAGUCAACACACAUCUCAGGAAUAUGGCAUAUUUGAACAAGUAAUUCGUUAUGGAUCCAUAACUAAAUAAACAUCAGCAUUUGAAAGAGUAUUUUUAUCAUUAUUCUAUUUACGAAAGCAUAGUUGCUGAUGAAGAAAUACAAUACUGUACAGUAUUGGGGUGGCAAGGUGGCCUAGUGGUUAGAGCAUUGGACUAGUAACUGGAAGGUUGCAAGUUCAAACCCCCGAGCUGACAAGGUAACAUUUCUGUCGUUCUGCCCCUGAACAGGCAGUUAACCCACUGUUCCUAGGCCGUCAUUGAAAAUAAGAAUUUGUUCUUAACUGACUUGCCUAGUUAAAUAAAUAUGGAUAGUACAGCAUUUUGAAGAUAUAAGCCAGCUGCAUUUGUUUUUUAGGCUACUGUGCAGUCUGACAAAUAAACAUAGAAUACAGUACUGUAAUUUCCGGACUAUAAGCCUCUACUUUUUCCCCACGCUUUGAACCUCGCGGUUUAUACAAUGACAAGAUUCAUGCCGCCAAUAAACUGAGCACCGUCACAUAAUGUGACGUAAAUCGAGCGCGCUCAAACUUCCCAUCAUUCUGAUUACGGUAGUCAUUUUGUCACCCUCAUCAUGGCAAAGACACGGAGAAAUGCAUAUGAUGCAGCUUUCAAGUUGAAGGCGAUCGAUCUGGCUGUUGGAAAAGGAAAUAGAGCUGCUGACAGCGUGGAGCAUUGUCAAAAAAUCCACUAUCAUCAACGGGUUUCGAAAGGCUGGACUGCUGCGUGUUGAAGAGGGCAGCGAUCCAACAUCGGAUGAAGCAAUUCUGAGGCUAUUCAUCUCCGACACCGAAGGAGAUGACUUCAGUGGUUUCAGUGCACAGGAGGAGGAAGAUAGUGACCAAUGACUUUCUUGGUAGGCUACUGUUUACUGCUAUUUUUUAAAUUUUUGUUACAAGCCGUGUUUCGUUUAAAGGCUGUGUAAAGUUAAUUUGUUUCAAUGUACCGGUAGGCACCUGCGGCUUAUAGACAUGUGCGGCUUAUUUAUGUACAAAAUGCAUUUUUUUAUUUUUUAUUCAGUGGGUGCGGUUUAUAUUCAGGUGCGCUUAAUAGUCCAGAAAUUACGGUACAUACUGUAGUAAACAUGGGAAAUGCCUAAUUCCUUACAUAAGGGAGAGCAGGCCAUGUCCAGACUUUCUCGGUGACCACAAGUACUCAUUAACUCUGUCUUUUAAUGCUUUUUCGGGUUGCAUCAGUCAUGGAAGGAAACUCCUGAGACACAGUAUUAACGAUGAUCACCCGGAGGUUCACUGGUAAGCUACAUUUGCCUCGAGAUCCAUCCGUUUGUAUUCUGUGCCCAGUCGAGGUAACUCUCUUCGAUUACACAUCCUUGGAAUAGCAGAACAGCAUAACGGUCUGGGCGGCCCUUGCUGUGCCUGGUGAGCAGUUGGUCAAGUUCUGUUGUCAGGGCUUUCAGCAGGAACGGAAAAUCUACUGGAGACAUUUAAAAAAUACUGGUAGACUUGGGGAUUUUGGUCACGGACAGUGCCAUUCACAAACACUAUCAUCAGAUGCCUGUUUUACGCCGAACUCGAAAGCCCAGGAAAAUUCACAGGUACAGUAGACUACCAUAUUUUAAUGUAGGCCUAAUAAUGCUAAAAAAUAAUGCUUAAAUAAAUCGACUGCUGAUCUUUACUGUAUGCUGCACAUUUUCACAUUGUAUUUCAUUUCCAGUGAGACUAUUCAAGCCAUCAACUCACUGUUGAAUGAAAAUGACGAGCGAUCGGCAAUCUGUAAUCUGCUGGCAUCACGGCACGACAUCAACAUCGCUCUAAUUACAGUCAGAAGACAGUUGAAGAAACUUGGGUGGACUUACAGAAAGGCUUAGCCCAGGCAUGGAUCAAAGCUGCCGAGACGUUCAAUAAUGUCAUCGUCACAGACUAAUCAACCGUGGCCCUUGAGCAAUUUGCUCAAAAUUGCUACAAAAAAAAGGAAGAUCAAACGAGCCGAGUCCCAAGCAUCUGCUCAAACUCCAUGUGUGAGGGGCAAUUUCUCGCCAGGGACCAGGCCCAUAUUUGACUUUUGAUGGUGAGUUUGGCUAUUUACAAAGCAAAAGGUACAUCAAAUAUUGUAGGCUACAACUCAGUCUGUUAUGUGUUCCACAAUAAUUCACCUUGCCUCCUUUUUCAGGUAUGGCUCAAGAUUUAUUUUUCUUUCUUUGAGGAAGAAAACCUUAGGAGAUAUGGACCCUAUGUCAGAGAGGUGUUUCUGGGACCACAUUGUUUCUUUCAAAGUCUCCUGAUUUUUAAACCCGGUCAAACUGGUUUGGCAUCAACUGAAAACAUUCAUCCGUAACUCUGCCAAGCCGACAAGCACAGAUGAACUGGUCAAGGCCAUCAAGAUGUUUUUGGCUUGAGAAAUUGACCAUACAACAAUGCAACAAAUACAUUGAUAAUCUCAGCAAGGUUUUACCUGUGGUUUUGGAGCUGGGUGGAAGUGCGACUAAAAUGUAGUUUAUAUAAACAUCCGCAUUUGAAUGUAUUUUUCUCGUUUAUUUUAUUUUUAUUAACAAAAGCAUAAAGAUGUUGCGGAAUAAAUACUGUACUGCUGUUUGUUAGAAAUGUAACACUUUAGAGUACUUAAGCAUCAAACGUUGAUGGAUUUUCACAACAGUAGCAGGUGGUUAUAGGUUAGUAGGUUAUACAAAGGUAGGUUAUACAAAAAGUCUAUUGUUCUGCUAAUAGGAAACAUUAGCAUGAUGGACAUCACCUGCUACAGUUGUGAAAAACAAGUGUUUGCAAACCGGUUUUCAAAAUGCCUCCAGUUGUCCAUCACUACUGUAAAUAAAAACACAUUUUGUUUCCAUUCUUUAUUGUGUCACACAUCAUUUAUCUACCUUUCCAAUAACUUUUAGAGUUUGGGAUUUACAAAUGUGCG